UACGUAGGUGGCAAGCGUUGUCCGGAUUUACUGGGCGUAAAGGGCGUGCAGGCGGUUUGUUUUAGUCUAGGGUGAAAGCUCCCGGCCUUAACUGGGAGAGGUCCUUGGAUACUGCAAACUUGAGGGAGGCAGAGGAAAGUGGAAUUCCCGGUGUAGUGGUGAUAUGCGUAGAUAUCGGGAGGAACACCAGUGGCGAAGGCGGCUUCUGGGCCUUACCUGACGCAUGAGACGGCGGAAAAGCCGUGGGGAGCGAACCGGG
rnacentral:rRNA from 1 species